rnacentral:rRNA from 1 species
CCUACGGGGGGCAGCAGUGGGGAAUAUUGCACAAUGGGCGCAAGCCUGAUGCAGCCAUGCCGCGUGUGUGAAGAAGGCCUUCGGGUUGUAAAGCACUUUCAGCGGGGAGGAAGGCGGUGAGGUUAAUAACCUCAUCGAUUGACGUUACCCGCAGAAGAAGCACCGGCUAACUCCGUGCCAGCAGCCGCGGUAAUACGGAGGGUGCAAGCGUUAAUCGGAAUUACUGGGCGUAAAGCGCACGCAGGCGGUCUGUCAAGUCGGAUGUGAAACCCCCGGGCUCAACCUGGGAACUGCAUUCGAAACUGGCAGGCUAGAGUCUUGUAGAGGGGGGUAGAAUUCCAGGUGUAGCGGUGAAAUGCGUAGAGAUCUGGAGGAAUACCGGUGGCGAAGGCGGCCCCCUGGACAAAGACUGACGCUCAGGUGCGAAAGUGUGGGGAGCAAACAGGAUUAGAUACCCCUGUAGUC